UACGAAGGGGGCUAGCGUUGCUCGGAAUCACUGGGCGUAAAGGGUGCGUAGGCGGGUCUUUAAGUCAGGGGUGAAAUCCUGGAGCUCAACUCCAGAACUGCCUUUGAUACUGAGGAUCUUGAGUUCGGGAGAGGUGAGUGGAACUGCGAGUGUAGAGGUGAAAUUCGUAGAUAUUCGCAAGAACACCAGUGGCGAAGGCGGCUCACUGGCCCGAUACUGACGCUGAGGCACGGAAAGCGUGGGGAGCAAAC
rnacentral:rRNA from 1 species